rnacentral:rRNA from 1 species
UUGACCUCAAAUCAGGUAGGACUACCCGCUGAACUUAAGCAUAUCAUUA